rnacentral:rRNA from 1 species
AUGUGCUGGAUUCUAGCUUCUUCUUUUGGUUACAAUAAAUCUUUUGCAGUUAGUAGCUCCGAUCGGAGCGGUGGUCUUGUACUUUUUUGGAAUGAGGAAAUAAAACUUGAGGUCUUGGGCUAUUCGAAGUAUCAUAUUGAUGCAAAUAUUUCUAAUCUGGGGUUGGCACCCUCGAGGUUCACAUGUAUUUAUGGUGAAGCGCAGGUAUCGGAGACGCACAAGACGUGGGACACAGUACGCUCACUUGCAGUAUCAUCAGGAGAACCAUGGGUGAUGUUGGGCGAUUUUAACGAGGUUUUAGUUCAUUCUGAGUAUGGAGUAGGCCAACGGAGUCAGACACAGCUUGAUGGCUUCAGAGAAGCCCUUGAUGUUUGUUGA